rnacentral:rRNA from 1 species
CCUACGGGUGGCAGCAGUGGGGAAUAUUGGGCAAUGGAGGAAACUCUGACCCAGCAACGCCGCGUGAAUGAUGAAGGUCUUCGGAUUGUAAAGUUCUUUUCUAAGGGAAGAAGAAAGUGACGGUACCUGAGGAAUAAGCCUCGGCUAACUACGUGCCAGCAGCCGCGGUAAUACGUAGGAUGCAAGCGUUAUCCGGAAUGACUGGGCGUAAAGGGUGAGUAGGUGGUUUGACAAGUUUGUAGCGAAACUCCGGGGCUCAACCUCGGCACUACUACCAAAACUGUCGGACUUGAGUGCAGGAGAGGCAGGUGGAAUUCCUGGUGUAGCGGUGAAAUGCGUAGAUAUUAAGAGGAACACCGAUGGCGAAGGCGAUUUGCUAGACUGUAACUGACACUGAGGCACGAAAGCGUGGGGAGCAAACAGGAUUAGAUACCCUGGUAGUC